rnacentral:rRNA from 1 species
AGAGUUUGAUCCUGGCUCAGAUUGAACGCUGGCGGCAGGCCUAACACAUGCAAGUCGAGCGGUAGCACAGAGAGCUUGCUCUCGGGUGACGAGCGGCGGACGGGUGAGUAAUGUCUGGGAAACUGCCUGAUGGAGGGGGAUAACUACUGGAAACGGUAGCUAAUACCGCAUAACGUCGCAAGACCAAAGUGGGGGACCUUCGGGCCUCAUGCCAUCAGAUGUGCCCAGAUGGGAUUAGCUAGUAGGUGGGGUAAUGGCUCACCUAGGCGACGAUCCCUAGCUGGUCUGAGAGGAUGACCAGCCACACUGGAACUGAGACACGGUCCAGACUCCUACGGGAGGCAGCAGUGGGGAAUAUUGCACAAUGGGCGCAAGCCUGAUGCAGCCAUGCCGCGUGUAUGAAGAAGGCCUUCGGGUUGUAAAGUACUUUCAGCGAGGAGGAAGGCGUUAAGGUUAAUAACCUUGGCGAUUGACGUUACUCGCAGAAGAAGCACCGGCUAACUCCGUGCCAGCAGCCGCGGUAAUACGGAGGGUGCAAGCGUUAAUCGGAAUUACUGGGCGUAAAGCGCACGCAGGCGGUCUGUCAAGUCGGAUGUGAAAUCCCCGGGCUCAACCUGGGAACUGCAUUCGAAACUGGCAGGCUAGAGUCUUGUAGAGGGGGGUAGAAUUCCAGGUGUAGCGGUGAAAUGCGUAGAGAUCUGGAGGAAUACCGGUGGCGAAGGCGGCCCCCUGGACAAAGACUGACGCUCAGGUGCGAAAGCGUGGGGAGCAAACAGGAUUAGAUACCCUGGUAGUCCACGCCGUAAACGAUGUCGACUUGGAGGUUGUGCCCUUGAGGCGUGGCUUCCGGAGCUAACGCGUUAAGUCGACCGCCUGGGGAGUACGGCCGCAAGGUUAAAACUCAAAUGAAUUGACGGGGGCCCGCACAAGCGGUGGAGCAUGUGGUUUAAUUCGAUGCAACGCGAAGAACCUUACCUACUCUUGACAUCCAGAGAACUUAGCAGAGAUGCUUUGGUGCCUUCGGGAACUCUGAGACAGGUGCUGCAUGGCUGUCGUCAGCUCGUGUUGUGAAAUGUUGGGUUAAGUCCCGCAACGAGCGCAACCCUUAUCCUUUGUUGCCAGCGGUCCGGCCGGGAACUCAAAGGAGACUGCCAGUGAUAAACUGGAGGAAGGUGGGGAUGACGUCAAGUCAUCAUGGCCCUUACGAGUAGGGCUACACACGUGCUACAAUGGCAUAUACAAAGAGAAGCGACCUCGCGAGAGCAAGCGGACCUCAUAAAGUAUGUCGUAGUCCGGAUUGGAGUCUGCAACUCGACUCCAUGAAGUCGGAAUCGCUAGUAAUCGUAGAUCAGAAUGCUACGGUGAAUACGUUCCCGGGCCUUGUACACACCGCCCGUCACACCAUGGGAGUGGGUUGCAAAAGAAGUAGGUAGCUUAACCUUCGGGAGGGCGCUUACCACUUUGUGAUUCAUGACUGGGGUGAAGUCGUAACAAGGUAGCCGU